UAAGCUUAAACAAAAAAUACAUUUGCUCACUAUUUCUUGAAUUAAUACGUUUGCUCACUCAAUACCUCAAACCCCUCUUGAAUUAAUCUCUCACUAUUUCCCAUUCCUAUUGCCAAAAAAAAAAAAAAAAAAAACCAAAACUCAAAACUAGUGAACGAAAGUUAUCUCAUAUAUAUUAUCUGCACUAUUAAUUUGUUAUCACACUGUUCAUUUCAAAUAUUGGAGUUUCUUCAACAAGUGGUUAUACUUUAGAAUCAUUUAGUAUUUUUCAUUUCGAAGCCAAUCUGCAUCAGUCUUCAUAAUCCAGCAGACCAUUAGUCUUGUAGAUCGCACCAUCAAAAACACAAGUUGUUCCGUUGAUUCAUAAUCCAGCUGGUCAUUUAGUUUCUUCUUUUGAAGCCAAUUUGCAUCAGUCUUGUAGAUUGCAUCAUCAAAAGCACAAGUUGUUCCGUUGCUGAUUCAUAAUCCAGCUGAUCAUUUAGUAUUUUUCAUUUCGAAGCCAAUUCACAUCAGUCUUCAUAAUCCAAUAGCUCAUUUAGUUACUUCUUUUGAAGCCACAUUGCAUCAGUCUUGUAGAUCGCAUCAUCAAUAGCAGAUUUUGACUCAAGUCUCAAGGAAGAGCAGAAGAAACGAAAAUCAAUGGAAAUUUUUAUUUCUGUUGUUGCAAAAAUAGCAGAAUAUACCGUUGUGCCUAUUGGACGUCAAGCAAGUUACUUGAUAUUCUACAAAGGUAACUUCAAGACGUUAAAGGAUCAUGUUGAAGACCUUGAGGCUGCAAGAGCAAGAAUGAUCCAUUCGGUUGAAAGAGAAAGGGGAAAUGGCAAAGAAAUUGAAAAAGAUGUUCUGAAUUGGUUGGAGAAAGUGAACGAGGUUAUUGAAAAGGCGAAUGGGCUCCAAAACGAUCCUCGCAAUGCCAAUGUUAGCUGCUCAGCAUGGCCGUUCCCCAACUUGAUUUUACGACAUCAACUAAGUAGGAAAGCCACAAAAAUUGCAAAAGAUGUUGUUCAAGUUCAAGGAAAAGGGAUUUUUGAUCAAGUUGGCUACCUUCCUCCUCUAGAUGUAGUAGCCGCUUCCUCAACAAGAGAUCGUGAAAAGUAUGACACAAGAGAGUCACUUAAGGAGGACAUUGUGAAAGCUUUAGCAGAUUCUACUUCAUGCAACAUUGGGGUCUAUGGUUUGGGUGGGGUGGGUAAGACCACUCUUGUGGAGAAAGUUGCUCAAAUAGCCAAGGAACAUAAGUUGUUCGAUAGAGUGGUUAAGACAGAAGUUACUAAAAAACCAGACAUUAAAAGAAUUCAAGGCGAGAUUGCAGAUUUCUUGAGUAUGCGAUUUGAAGAGGAGACUAUUGUUGGCAGAGCACAACGCCUCAGACAAAGAAUCAAGAUGGAGAAAAGCAUCCUUAUCAUUCUAGAUAACAUAUGGACCCUUGAUUUGAAAGAAGUGGGGAUACCAGUUGGUGAUGAACAUAAUGGUUGCAAAUUGUUGAUAACAAGUAGAAGUCAAGAAGUGUUGCUGGAAAUGGAUGUUCCAAAGGAUUUCACUUUCAAAGUUGAACUUAUGAGUGAAAAUGAGUCAUGGAGCUUGUUUCAAUUUAUGGCAGGGGAUGUGGUUAAAGAUAGAACUUUGAAAGAUGUAGCAUAUCAAGUUGCCCAAAAAUGUGAAGGUUUGCCGCUUAGGGUAGUGACAGUAGCGCGUGCAAUGAAAAAUAAGAGGGAUGUUCAUUCAUGGAAAUAUGCAUUAAAGAAAUUGCAAAGUCAUGACUCGUUAAAUGCGUUAACUUAUUCUGCUUUGGAAUUGAGCUAUGACUCAUUGGAUAGUGAUGAAAUGAGGGACCUUUUCUUGCUUUUUUCUUUACUUCCAGGUAAUUAUGUAUCGUACUUUCUAAAAAUUGCAAUGGGUCUAGACAUAUUAAAACAUGUUAAUACCAUUGAUGAUGCAAGAAAUAAACUUUACACAAUGAUCGAAUCUUUGGAGGCAACUUGUCUUUUGCUUGAAGUUAAAGUAGAUGGAAAGAUCCAAAUGCAUGACUUUGUUUGUGAGUUUGCUAUCUCCAUAGCAUGCAGGGACAAACAUGUAUUUCUAAUGAAACAACGGGAUGAGGAAUGGCCAACCAGUGCUUUUUUACAAAGGUGCACACAGAUUGUUGUAGAUCGCUAUCAUAUGCACGAGCUUCCUCAAACAAUUGAUUGUCCUAACAUAAAGUUUUUUUGUUUGGUUAGUGGGAAUCGUUCUUUAAAAAUCCCAGAUGAUUAUUUUGAGGGUAUGGGAAGCCUUAGAGUGCUAGAUUUAACAAGUCUGAACUUGUCUUCAUUACCGUUUCAGUUCCUAACCGACCUUCAAACAUUGUGUUUGAAUUUCUGCGUUUUGGAAAAUAUGGAUGCAAUAGAAGCUUUACAAAAUUUGAAAAUACUUUGCCUCUGGAAUUCUUCAAUGAUCAAGUUGCCAAGACAAAUAGGGCAAUUGACUCAAUUGAGAAUGCUUGAUUUGAGAAGUUCAGGAAUAGAAGUAAUCCCACACAACAUUAUAUCAAGCUUGACUAAAUUGGAGGAGUUGUACAUGGGAAAUACCUCUAUUAAUUGGGAAGAUGUGAAUUCAACGGUUCAAAAUGAACAUGCUAGUAUUGCUGAGCUUCGAAAGCUACCCAACUUGAAAGCUCUAGAAUUACAAAUUCGUGAGACUUGGAUGUUGCCAAGGGACUUGCGAUUGAUGUUUGAGAAGCUGGAAAGAUAUAAAAUAGCUAUUGGAGAUGUAUGGGACUGGUCUGACAUCAAGGAUGGAACCUUAAAAACAUUGAUGCUCAAACUUGGUACAAACAUACAUUUGGAGCAUGGAAUUAAAGCAUUGAUUAAAGGUGUUGAGAAUUUGUAUUUGGAUGAUGUAGAUGGAAUUCAAAAUGUGCUUCCUAACCUAAAUAGAGAAGGAUUUAAAUUGCUGAAACAUCUCCACGUCCAAAAUAAUACUAACUUGAAUCACAUUGUUGACAAUAAAGAGAUAAAUCAAAUCCAUGCGUCCUUUCCCAUCUUGGAAACACUAGUACUUCUUAAUCUUAGAAACUUGGAGCAUAUAUGUCAUGGUCAACCUUCAGUUGCUUCUUUUGGAAGUCUCAGUGUUAUCAAAGUAAAAAAUUGCGUCCAGUUAAAGUAUCUUUUCUCCUUUACAAUGGUUAAAGGACUUUCUCACCUUUGUAAGAUUGAAGUUUGUGAGUGCAAUUCUAUGAAGGAUAUAGUGUUCAGAGACAACAAUUCAAGUGCUAAUAAUGAUAUCACUGAUGAAAAAAUCGAGUUUCUUCAAUUGCGUUCUUUGACUUUAGAACAUUUGGAGACACUUGAUAAUUUCGCCUCUGAUUAUUUGACACAUCAUAGAAGUAAGGAAAAGUAUCACGAUGUAGAGCCAUAUGCUUCUACUACACCAUUUUUCAAUGCUCAGGUUUCAUUUCCUAAUUUGGAUACCCUUAAAUUAAGCUCACUUCUCAAUUUGAACAAAGUCUGGGAUGAGAAUCAUCAAUCAAUGUGCAACUUGACUAGCUUGAUUGUGGAUAAUUGUGUUGGAUUGAAGUAUUUAUUCUCAUCUACUUUGGUUGAAAGUUUUAUGAACCUCAAACAUCUUGAAAUAAGUAAUUGUCCUAUCAUGGAGGAUAUAAUAACUAAAGAAGAUAGAAAUAAUGCAGUAAAAGAGGUUCAUUUUUUGAAAUUAGAGAAAAUCAUAUUGAAGGAUAUGGACAGCUUGAAGACAAUAUGGCAUCGGCAAUUUGAAACAUCGAAGAUGUUGGAAGUGAACAAUUGUAAGAAAAUUGUGGUGGUUUUUCCUUCUUCAAUGCAAAACACAUAUAAUGAGCUUGAGAAGUUGGAGGUUAGAAAUUGUGAUUUAGUUGAAGAGAUAUUUGAAUUGAAUUUGAAUGAAAAUAACAGUGAAGAGGUUAUGACACAAUUGAAAGAGGUUACUCUACAAGUACUGUUGAAGUUGAAAAAUAUAUGUAGUGGAGAUCCUGAAGGAAUUCUUAGUUUUCAAAAUCUAAUAAAUGUCGAAGUACGAUAUUGUCCAAUCUUGGAGUAUCUAUUACCACUCUCUGUAGCCACUCGUUGCUCUCAUCUCAAGGAACUUAGUAUAAAAUCUUGUGGGAACAUGAAGGAAAUUGUUGCAGAGGAGAAUGAAUCUAGCGUGAAUGCAGCUCCCAUAUUUGAGUUUAAUCAACUAACUACUUUAAUGCUUUGGGGCUUACAUAAAUUCAAUGGUUUCUAUGCUGGAAAUCACACUCUGCUAUGUCCAUCUUUGAGGAAAGUUGAUGUUUUCAAAUGUACAAAGUUGAAUUUGUUUAGAACUCAUUCUACAAGAAGCUCCAAUUUUCAAGAUGACAAACACUCUGUUUUAAAGCAACAACCACUUUUCAUUGCUGAAGAGGUGAUUCCAAACUUGGAGUUUUUGAGGAUGGAACAGGCGGAUGCUGACAUGCUAUUGCAAACCCAAAACACAAGUGCCCUCUUUUGCAAAAUGACAUGGAUUGGCUUUAAUUGCUAUGACACUGAUGAUGCUAGCUUUCCUUAUUGGUUUCUUGAAAAUGUGCAUACUCUUGAGUCACUAGUUGUUGAGUGGAGUUGCUUCAAGAAGAUAUUUCAAGAUAAAGGAGAAAUAAGUGAGAAGACUCAUACACAAAUCAAAACACUGGAAUUGAGCGAAUUACCUAAACUUCAACAUAUAUGUGAGGAAGGAUCUCAAAUUGACCCAGUUCUUGAGUUCCUUGAAUACUUACAUGUUGAUGGAUGUUCUAGUUUGAUAAAUUUGAUGCCUUCCUCUGUCACCCUUAAUCAUCUCACAAGGUUAGAGAUAAUAGAAUGCAAUGGGCUAAAAUAUUUGAUCACAACUCCUACUGCACGAAGUUUGGACAAGCUCACUGUGCUGAAGAUAAAAGAUUGUAAUUCACUUGAAGAAGUAGUUAAUGGAGUAGAAAAUGUUGACAUUGCUUUUAUUAGUUUACAAAUUUUGAUGUUGGAAUGUUUGCCAAGCCUCAUCAAGUUUUGCUCUAGUGAGUGUUUCAUGAAGUUUCCGUUGUUGGAGAAAGUAAUUGUGGGGGAAUGUCCUCGCAUGAAGAUUUUUUCUGCCAGAGACACAAGCACACCAAUUCUUCAAAAAGUCAAAAUUGCAGAAAAUGAUUCAGAAUGGCAUUGGAAAGGAAACUUAAACGAUACAAUAUACAACAUAUUUGAAGAUAAGGUGGGAUUUGGUAGUUUCAAGCAUUUAAAACUAUCUGAAUAUCCUGAGUUAAAAGAGUUCUGGUAUGGUCAACUUGAGCAUAACGCAUUUAAGAGUUUGAAGCAUCUAGUGGUUCAUAAAUGUGGUUUUUUAUCCGAUGUGCUCUUUCAACCUAACUUGCUAGAAGUACUGAUGAACCUGGAAGAAUUAGAUGUGGAGGAUUGUGAUUCAUUAGAAGCAGUUUUUGAUUUGAAUGAUGAAUUUGCCAAAGAAAUUGUUGUUCAGAAUUCAAGUCAAUUGAAGAAAUUAAAACUAUCUAAUCUUCCAAAUCUGAAGCAUGUAUGGAAGGAUGAUCCACAUUACACUAUUAGGUUUGAAAAUUUAAUUGAUAUAUCUGUUGAGGAAUGUGAAAGCUUGACAAGCCUCUUUCCGCUCUCAGUGGCUAGAGAUAUGAUGCAACUUCAAAGUCUUCAAGUAAGUCAGUGUGGGAUUCAAGAAAUUGUUGGCAAGGAAGAAGGAACAAAUGAGAUGGUUAAAUUUGUGUUUCCUCAUUUGACAUUCAUUAAACUUCUAAAUUUGCAAGAACUUGAGGCAUUCUAUGUUGGGGUUCAUUCUCUUCACUGUAAAUCAUUGAAAACGAUCAACUUCUAUGGAUGUCCAAAAAUACAGCUAUUUAAGGCAGAGCCUUUGAGAUAUAAAGAGAAUUCCGUAAAUGAUGAGCUCAAUAUCUCAACAUCUCAACCUCUUUUUGUGCUUGAAGAGGUGAUUCCAAACUUGGAGCUGUUGAGGAUGCAACAGACAGAUGCUGACAUGAUAUUGCAAACUCAAAACUCAAGUUCCCUCUUUACCAAAAUGACGUGUGUUAGCUUGAGUGGCUAUGACAGUGAAGAGGCUACAUUUCCUUAUUGGUUUCUUGAAAAUGUGCAUACUCUCGAGUCACUAAUUGUUGAGAUGAGUUCCUUCAAGAAGAUAUUUCAAGAUAGAGGAGAAAUAAGUGAGAAGGCUCAUACACAUAUCAAAAGACUGACAUUGAAUGAAUUACCUAAACUUCAACAUAUAUGCGAGGAAGGAUCUCAAAUUCACCCAGUUCUUGAGUUCCUUGAAUACUUAGAUGUUGAUAGUUGUUCUAGCCUGACAAAUUUGAUGCCUUCCUCUGUCACCCUUAAUCAUCUGACGCAGUUGGAGAUAAUAAAAUGCAAUGGGCUAAAAUAUUUAUUCACAACUUCUACGGCACGAAGCUUAGACAAGCUCACAGUGUUGAAGAUAAAAGACUGUAAUUCACUUGAAGAAGUAAUUACUGGAGUAGAAAAUGUCGACAUUGCUUUUAAUAGUUUGGAAGUUUUCAAGUUGAAAUGUUUGCCAAACCUCGUCAAAUUUUGCUCUAGUAAGUGUUUCAUGAAGUUUCCAUUGAUGGAGGAAGUAAUUGUGAGGGAAUGUCCUCGCAUGAAGAUUUUUUCAGCCGGAAACACAAGUACACCACUUCUUCAAAAAGUUAAAAUUGCAAAAAAUGAUGAAGAAUGGCUAUGGCAAGGAAACUUAAACGAUACAAUAUACAACAUGUUUCAAGAUAAGGUGGGAUUUGGUAGUUUCAAGCAUUUAAAACUAUCUGAAUAUCCUGAGUUAAAAGAGUUCUGGUAUGGUCAACUUGAGCAUAACGCAUUUAAGAGUUUGAAGCAUCUAGUGGUUCAUAAAUGUGGUUUUUUAUCCGAUGUGCUCUUUCAACCUAACUUGCUAGAAGUACUGAUGAACCUGGAAGAAUUAGAUGUGGAGGAUUGUUAUUCAUUAGAAGCAGUUUUUGAUUUGAAUGAUGAAUUUGCCAAAGAAAUUGUUGUUCAGAAUUCAAGUCAAUUGAAGAAAUUAAAACUAUCUAAUCUUCCAAAUCUGAAGCAUGUAUGGAAGGAUGAUCCACAUUACACUAUUAGGUUUGAAAAUUUAAUUGAUAUAUCUGUUGAGGAAUGUGAAAGCUUGACAAGCCUCUUUCCGCUCUCAGUGGCUAGAGAUAUGAUGCAACUUCAAAGUCUUCAAGUAAGUCAGUGUGGGAUUCAAGAAAUUGUUGGCAAGGAAGAAGGAACAAAUGAGAUGGUUAAAUUUGUGUUUCCUCAUUUGACAUUCAUUAAACUUCUAAAUUUGCAAGAACUUGAGGCAUUCUAUGUUGGGGUUCAUUCUCUUCACUGUAAAUCAUUGAAAACGAUCAACUUCUGUGGAUGUCCAAAAAUACAGCUAUUUAAGGCAGAGCCUUUGAGAUACAAAGAGAAUUCCGUAAAUGAUGAGCUCAAUAUCUCAACAUCUCAACCUCUUUUUGUGCUUGAAGAGGUGAUUCCAAACUUGGAGAAGUUGACGAUGGAACAGGCGGAUGCUUACAUGAUAUUGCAAACUCAAAACUCAAGUUCCCUCUUUACCAAAAUGACGUUUGUUGCCUUGAGUGGCUAUGACAGUGAAGAGGCUACAUUUCCUUAUUGGUUUCUUGAAAAUGUGCAUACUCUCGAUUCACUAAUUGUUGAGAUGAGUUCCUUCAAGAAGAUAUUUCAAGAUAGAGGAGAAAUAAGUGAGAAGACUCAUGCACAAAUAAAAAAACUGAUAUUGAAUGAAUUACCUGAACUUCAACAAAUAUGUGAGGAAGGAUGCCAAAUUGACCCAGUUCUUGAGUUCCUUGAAUACUUAGAUGUUGAUAGUUGUUCUAGUCUGAUAAAUUUGAUGCCUUCCUCUGUCACCCUUAAUCAUCUGACGCAGUUGGAGAUAAUAAAAUGCAAUGGGCUAAAAUAUAUAUUCACAACUUCUACGGCACGAAGCUUGGACAAGCUCACAGUGUUGAAGAUAAAAGACUGUAAUUCACUUGAAGAAGUAAUUACUGGAGUAGAAAAUGUCGACAUUGCUUUUAAUAGUUUGGAAGUUUUCAAGUUGAAAUGUUUGCCAAACCUCGUCAAAUUUUGCUCUAGUAAGUGUUUCAUGAAGUUUCCAUUGAUGGAGGAAGUAAUUGUAAGGGAAUGUCCUCGCAUGAAGAUUUUUUCAGCCGGAAACACAAGUACACCACUUCUUCAAAAAGUUAAAAUUGCAAAAAAUGAUGAAGAAUGGCUAUGGCAAGGAAACUUAAACGAUACAAUAUACAACAUGUUUCAAGAUAAGGUGGGAUUUGGUAGUUUCAAGCAUUUAAAACUAUCUGAAUAUCCUGAGUUAAAAGAGUUCUGGUAUGGUCAACUUGAGCAUAACGCAUUUAAGAGUUUGAAGCAUCUAGUGGUUCAUAAAUGUUGUUUUUUAUCCGAUGUGCUCUUUCAACCUAACUUGCUAGAAGUACUGAUGAACCUGGAAGAAUUAGAUGUGGAGGAUUGUGAUUCAUUAGAAGCAGUUUUUGAUUUGAAUGAUGAAUUUGCCAAAGAAAUUGUUGUUCAGAAUUCAAGUCAAUUGAAGAAAUUAAAACUAUCUAAUCUUCCAAAUCUGAAGCAUGUAUGGAAGGAUGAUCCACAUUACACUAUUAGGUUUGAAAAUUUAAUUGAUAUAUCUGUUGAGGAAUGUGAAAGCUUGACAAGCCUCUUUCCGCUCUCAGUGGCUAGAGAUAUGAUGCAACUUCAAAGUCUUAAAGUAAGUCAGUGUGGUAUUCAAGAAAUUGUUGGCAAGGAAGAAGGAACAAAUGAGAUGGUUAAAUUUGUGUUUCAGCAUUUAACAUCCAUUACACUUCAAAAUUUGCAAGAACUUGAGGCAUUCUAUGUUGGGGUUCAUUCUCUUCACUGUAAAUCAUUGAAAACGAUCCACUUCUAUGGAUGUCCAAAAAUAGAGCUAUUUAAGGCAGAGCCUUUGAGAUACAAAGAGAAUUCCGUAAAUGAUGAGCUCAAUAUCUCAACAUCUCAACCUCUUUUUGUGCUUGAAGAGGUGAUUCCAAACUUGGAGUUGUUGAGGAUGGAACAGGCGGAUGCUGACAUGAUAUUGCAAACUCAAAACUCAAGUUCCCUCUUUACCAAAAUGACGUUUGUUGGCUUGAGUGGCUAUGACAGUGAAGAUGCUACAUUUCCUUAUUGGUUUCUUGAAAAUGUGCAUACUCUCGAGUCACUAAUUGUUGAGAUGAGUUCCUUCAAGAAGAUAUUUCAAGAUAGAGGAGAAAUAAGUGAGAAGACUCAUGCACAAAUUAAAAAACUGAUAUUGAAUGAAUUACCUGAACUUCAACAAAUAUGUGAGGAAGGAUGCCAAAUUGACCCAGUUCUUGAGUUCCUUGAAUACUUAGAUGUUGAUAGUUGUUCUAGUUUGAUAAAUUUAAUGCCUUCCUCUGUCACCCUUAAUCAUCUGACGCAGUUGGAGAUAAUAAAAUGCAAUGGGCUAAAAUAUAUAUUCACAACUUCUACGGCACGAAGCUUGGACAAGCUCACAGUGUUGAAGAUAAAAGACUGUAAUUCACUUGAAGAAGUAAUUACUGGAGUAGAAAAUGUCGACAUUGCUUUUAAUAGUUUGGAAGUUUUCAAGUUGAAAUGUUUGCCAAACCUCGUCAAAUUUUGCUCUAGUAAGUGUUUCAUGAAGUUUCCAUUGAUGGAGGAAGUAAUUGUAAGGGAAUGUCCUCGCAUGAAGAUUUUUUCAGCCGGAAACACAAGUACACCACUUCUUCAAAAAGUUAAAAUUGCAAAAAAUGAUGAAGAAUGGCUAUGGCAAGGAAACUUAAACGAUACAAUAUACAACAUGUUUGAAGAUAAGGUGGGAUUUGGUGGUUUCAAGCAUUUAAAACUAUCUGAAUAUCCCGAGUUAAAAGAGUUCUGGUACGGUCAACUUGAGCAUAACGCAUUUAGGAGUUUGAAGCAUCUAGUGGUUCAUAAAUGUGAUUUUUUAUCCGAUGUGCUCUUUCAACCUAACUUGCUAGAAGUACUGAUGAACCUGGAAGAAUUAGAUGUGGAGGAUUGUAAUUCAUUAGAAGCAAUUUUUGAUUUGAAAGAUGAAUUUGCCAAAGAAGUGCAGAAUUCUAGUCACCUGAAGAAAUUAAAACUAUCUAAUCUUCCAAAACUGAGGCAUGUAUGGAAGGAGGAUCCACAUAACACUAUGGGGUUUCAAAAUUUAAGUGAUGUAUACGUUGUGGUAUGCAAUAGCUUGAUAAGCCUCUUUCCACUUUCAGUAGCUAGAGAUAUGAUGCAACUUCAAAGUCUUCAAGUAAUUAAAUGUGGGAUUCAAGAAAUUGUUGCCAAGGAAGAUGGACCAGAUGAGAUGGUUAAUUUUGUGUUUCCUCAUUUGACAUUCAUUAAACUUCAUAAUUUGACCAAACUGAAGGCAUUCUUUGUUGGGGUCCAUUCUCUUCAAUGCAAAUCAUUGAAAACAAUCAAUUUGUUUGGAUGUCCAAAAAUAAAGCUAUUUAAGGUAGAGACUUUGAGACACCAAGAAAGUUCCAGAAAUGAUGUGCUCAAUAUCUCGACAUAUGAACCGCUUUUUGUGAAUGAAGACGUGAAGGUACUUGCCAAUGUGGAGAGUUUGUCUUUGAACAAAAAAGAUUUUGGCAUGAUAUUGAACAGCCAAUAUUCGAGGGUUCAAUUCAACAACAUUAGACACAUUAUUGUGGGUGAGUUUUACAAUGAAGAGGCUACUUUUCCAUAUUGGUUCUUGAAAAAUGUUCCUAAUUUAGAAAGAUUGUUGGUCCAAUGGAGUUCCUUCACGGAGUUAUUCCAAGGGGAAAAAAUCAUAAGAACGGAAAAGGAACCUGAAAUUAUUCCACAACUAAGAAAGUUGACACUAUGGAACCUGACCAGACUUCAAUGUAUAUGCAAAGAAGGAGUUCAGAUUGAUCCAGUUCUACAUUUUCUUGAAAGCAUUUGGGUUUAUCAGUGUUCCAGUCUGAUAAUGUUAGUUCCAUCAUCUGUUACCUUUAAUUACAUGACCUAUUUGGAGGUUACAAACUGUAAUGGGUUGAAAAAUUUGAUAACACACUCAACAGCAAAGAGUCUUGUCAAACUCACAACAAUGAAGAUUAAAAUGUGUAAUUGUCUUGAGGAUAUAGUGAACGGUAAAGAAGAUGAGAUAAAUGAUAUUGUAUUUUGCAGUUUACAAACUCUAGAACUAAUUUCUUUACAAAGGCUAUGUCGAUUUUGUUCAUGCCCAUGCCCCAUUAAGUUUCCGUUGCUGGAAGUUAUAGUUGUCAAAGAAUGUCCUCGAAUGGAACUUUUUUCAUUGGGAGUUACCAACACAACAAAUCUUCAAAAUGUACAAACUGAUGAAGGAAAUCAUUGGGAGGGUGACCUCAACAGAACCAUAAAGAAAAUGUUUUGUGAUAAGGUUGCAUUUGGUAAAUUUAAGUACUUAGCCUUAUCUGACUAUCCUGAGCUAAAGGAUGUGUGGUAUGGCCAACUUCAUUGCAAUGUGUUCUGCAAUUUGAAACAUCUUGUCGUGGAAAGGUGUGAUUUUUUAUCACAUGUACUUUUUCCAUCAAAUGUAAUGCAAGUGCUACAGACAUUGGAAGAACUAGAAGUAAAAGAUUGCGAUUCAUUAGAAGCAGUGUUUGAUGUGAAAGGUAUGAAGUCACAAGAAAUAUUGAUAAAAGAAAACACUCAAUUGAAAAGAUUGACUUUGUCUACUUUACCCAAAUUGAAGCAUAUAUGGAAUGAGGAUCCUCAUGAAAUUAUCAGCUUUGGAAACUUACACAAGGUGGAUGUUUCUAUGUGUCAAAGCCUGUUAUAUGUCUUUCCAUAUUCACUAUCCCCAGAUCUUGGACAUCUUGAAAUGCUUGAGAUAAGUUCUUGCGGAGUCAAGGAAAUUGUUGCAAUGGAAGAAACUGUAUCAAUGGAAAUUCAAUUUAAUUUCCCCCAAUUGAAAAUCAUGGCACUGCGUCUUUUGUCAAAUCUCAAGAGUUUCUAUCAAGGAAAGCAUACUUUAGAUUGCCCUUCAUUGAAGACUUUGAAUGUAUAUCGUUGUGAAGCAUUAAGAAUGUUUUCUUUCAGCAAUCCAGACUCACAACAAUCUUACUCUGUUGAUGAAAAUCAGGACAUGCUAUUCCAACAACCCCUAUUUUGUAUUGAAAAGUUGGGCCCCAAUCUAGAGGAAAUGGCAAUAAAUGGCAGAGAUGUCUUGGGGAUAUUGAAUCAAGAAAAUAUCUUUCAUAAAGUUGAAUAUGUUCGUUUGCAAUUGUUUGAUGAAACUCCAAUUACUUUUUUGAAUGAACAUCUUCACAAGAUAUUUCCUAAUCUUGAAACAUUUCAAGUGCGUAAUAGUUCCUUUGUCGUAUUGUUCCCAACUAAAGGAACCACUGAUCAUCUCAGUAUGCAAAUUUCAAAGCAAAUAAGAAAAUUAUGGCUUUUUGAAUUGGAAAAGCUCGAGCACAUCUGGCAGGAAAACUUUCCACUGGAUCAUCCUCUGCUACAACAUCUUGAAUGCUUUUCUGUAUGGAGUUGUCCGAGUUUAAAAAGUUUGGUACCAUCUUCGAUAUCUUUCACAAAUUUAACCCAUUUGAAAGUGGACAACUGCAAAGAGCUGAUCUAUUUGAUAACAUAUUCAACAGCUAAAAGCCUAGUUCAACUCAAAACAUUAAAAAUAAUGAAUUGUGAGAAGUUGUUGGAUGUUGUUAAGAUUGAUGAAGGAAAAGCAGAGGAAAACAUUGUAUUUGAAAACCUGGAAUACUUGGAACUUACUUCUUUGUCAAGUUUGAGAAGCUUCUGCUAUGGGAAACAAGCAUUCAUAUUCCCAUCUUUGCUACACUUCAUCGUUAAAGAAUGUCCUCAAAUGAAGAUCUUCUCAUCUGCACCCACAGCAGCACCGUGCCUCACAACAAUUGAGGUGGAAGAAGAAAAUAUGCGAUGGAAAGGUGAUCUUAACAAAACUAUUCAACAAAUUUUCAUAGAAAAGGAAGUCUCACAUUCUCAUUAAUAUGUUGAAUGAGACCAUCAUCUAUCCUCGUAUUUGCAAGGUCCGAUUCGAACUCGUUUGAUGUAGAAAGUGGCGAGAUGAUAAUGGAUGAGUUGUUUGUUGGUAAAAUCGCAGGCGCAAGAAACAUGUGAGAAGUAGUUCCAAGGAGCUAUUUAUAUUGGUGUUUUGAAGACUUUCUUUUAUUUUCUAUUCAUGUUGUUAUUUGAUCGGUUUACAUGUCAAGUACCUUGGAUUGUAAUUUUACUCUUAUUGUUCUGGUGGGUGAUGUCGAGGAUUCUUGUACUAUGUUACCUAUUUGUUUAAUUGCCAAAUCCAACCAUGACAUAUGUGGGGGUGUUUCUACGUGUUUGAUGGAUCACUCUUUUUAUUUUUAAAAAUUGAACAUUUCUAUUUGGACAAAUGGUAUGCAUGUUAUGUUGUAA